GCUGGACGGCAUGCCUAAUACAUGCAAGUCGAACGAGUACUUCGGUCUAGUGGCGGACGGGUGAGUAACGCGUAGGAACCUACCAAGCAGUGGGGAAUAACAGUUGGAAACGACUGCUAAUACCGCAUACGCCCUUCGGGGGAAAGAUUUAUCGCUGUUUGAGGGUCCUGCGUUCGAUUAGCUAGUUGGCGGGGUAACGGCCCACCAAGGCAACGAUCGAUAGCUGGUCUGAGAGGAUGAUCAGCCACACUGGGACUGAGACACGGCCCAGACUCCUACGGGAGGCAGCAGUAGGGAAUAUUGGACAAUGGGGGAAACCCUGAUCCAGCAAUGCCGCGUGCGUGAAGAAGGCCUUAGGGUUGUAAAGCGCUUUCACCUGUGACGAUGAUGACGGUAACAGGAGAAGAAGCCCCGGCUAACUCCGUGCCAGCAGCCGCGGUAAUACGGAGGGGGCUAGCGUUGUUCGGAAUUACUGGGCGUAAAGGGCGUGUAGGCGGCGAAUUUAGUUAGGCGUGAAAGCCCCGGGCUCAACCUGGGAACUGCGCUUAAUACUGAUUUGCUAGAGUCCGGGAGAGGCUAGUGGAAUAUCCAGUGUAGAGGUGAAAUUCGUAGAUAUUGGAUGGAACACCGAUGGCGAAGGCAGCUAGCUGGACCGGUACUGACGCUGAGGCGCGAAAGCGUGGGGAGCAAACAGGAUUAGAUACCCUG
rnacentral:rRNA from 1 species